rnacentral:rRNA from 1 species
UUUCUAGUUAUCGUAAUAAGGUAUCUAAUUCUGAAUACAUAGGGGUUAGAAGCGAACCUGGGGAACUGAAACAUCUAAGUACCCAGAGGAAAGGACAUCAAACGAGACUCCGCUAGUAGUGGCGAGCGAACGCGGACCAGGCCAGUGGCUUAUGUGAGUAAAGUGGAACAAUCUGGAAAGGUUGGCUAAAGUGGGUGAUAGCCCCGUACACGUAGAACGAUCAUAAGUCCUUGAGUAGGGCGGGACACGUGAAAUCCUGUCUGAACAUGGGUCGACCACGAUCCAAGCCUAAGUACUCGUGCAUGACCGAUAGCGAACCAGUACCGUGAGGGAAAGGUGAAAAGCACCCCGACGAGGGGAGUGAAAUAGUACCUGAAACCGAAUGCCUACAAACAGUUGGAGCCCAAGAUUUGUUCUGGGUGACAGCGUACCUUUUGUAUAAUGGGUCAGCGACUUAGUCUGACGAGCAAGCUUAAGCCGGUAGGUGUAGGCGUAGCGAAAGCGAGUCUGAACAGGGCGUUCAGUUCGUCGGAUUAGACCCGAAACCAAGUGAUCUAGCCAUGAGCAGGUUGAAGGUACGGUAACACGUACUGGAGGACCGAACCCAUAUCUGUUGCAAUAGAUCGGGAUGACUUGUGGCUAGGGGUGAAAGGCCAAUCAAACUUGGAGAUAGCUGGUUCUCCGCGAAAUCUAUUUAGGUAGAGCGUCCAGCGAAUACCCCCGGGGGUAGAGCACUGAAUGGGCUAUGGGGACUCACCGUCUUACUGAUCCUAAUCAAACUCCGAAUACCGGGGAGUACUACUGGGCAGACACACGGCGGGUGCUAACGUCCGUCGUGAAGAGGGCAACAACCCUGACCACCAUCUAAGGUCCCUAAGUUAUGGCUAAGUGGGAAAGGAUGUGAGGAUCCCAAAACAACCAGGAUGUUGGCUUAGAAGCAGCCAUCAUUUAAAGAAAGCGUAACAGCUCACUGGUCUAAAUAAGGGUCUUUGCGCCGAAAAUGUACCGGGGCUAAAGCCAUACACCGAAGCUGUGGAUGCACGUAUGUGCGUGGUAGCGGAGCGUUCCGUAAGCCUGUGAAGGGACAGUCGUGAGACAUCCUGGAGGUAUCGGAAGUGAGAAUGCUGACAUGAGUAACGAUAAAGGGAGUGAGAGACUCCCUCGCCGAAAGUCCAAGGGUUCCUGCUUAAAGUUAAUCUGAGCAGGGUUAGCCGGCCCCUAAGGCGAGGCCGAAAGGCGUAGUCGAUGGGAACCACGUUAAUAUUCGUGGGCCUGCAGGUAGUGACGGAUUGCGUGUGUUGUCAGGUCUUAUUGGAUUGAUCUGGCAGCGAAGCGGUUCCAGGAAAUAGCUCCUGCAUAUAGACCGUACCCUAAACCGACACUGGUGGACUGGUAGAGAAUACCAAGGCGCUUGAGAGAACUGCGUUGAAGGAACUCGGCAAAAUGCACGCGUAACUUCGGAAGAAGCGUGACCUCCAUUUAGGCAACUAGGUGGAGGUGGCACAGACCAGGGGGUAGCGACUGUUUACCAAAAACACAGGGCUCUGCGAAGUCGCAAGACGACGUAUAGGGUCUGACGCCUGCCCGGUGCUGGAAGGUUAAGAGGAGAUGUGCAAGCAUUGAAUUGAAGCCCCAGUAAACGGCGGCCGUAACUAUAACGGUCCUAAGGUAGCGAAAUUCCUUGUCGGGUAAGUUCCGACCUGCACGAAUGGCGUAACGACUUCCCCGCUGUCUCCAACGCAGACUCAGUGAAAUUGAAUUCCCCGUGAAGAUGCGGGGUUCCUGCGGUUAGACGGAAAGACCCCGUGCACCUUUACUAUAGCUUUACACUGGCAUUCGUGUCGACAUGUGUAGGAUAGGUGGUAGACUUUGAAGCAGUGGCGCCAGCCAUUGUGGAGUCAUCCUUGAAAUACCACCCUUAUCUAUAUGGAUGUCUAACUGCGGCCCGUUAUCCGGGUCCAGGACCGUGUAUGGUGGGUAGUUUGACUGGGGCGGUCGCCUCCUAAAGAGUAACGGAGGCGCGCGAUGGUAGGCUCAGAACGGUCGGAAAUCGUUCGUCGAGUGCAAUGGCAUAAGCCUGCCUGACUGCAAGACUGACAAGUCGAGCAGAGACGAAAGUCGGUCAUAGUGAUCCGGUGGUCCCGCGUGGAAGGGCCAUCGCUCAACGGAUAAAAGGUACGCCGGGGAUAACAGGCUGAUGACCCCCAAGAGUCCAUAUCGACGGGGUUGUUUGGCACCUCGAUGUCGACUCAUCGCAUCCUGGGGCUGGAGCAGGUCCCAAGGGUAUGGCUGUUCGCCAUUUAAAGCGGUACGUGAGUUGGGUUCAGAACGUCGUGAGACAGUUCGGUCCCUAUCUGCCGUGGGUGUAGGAAUAUU